CCCACGCAGUGAAAUCCAGCAUUUCUUGACUGUCAAUCAACCAUUUUUAAUCCCUGGCCAUUUCUGAUAUAUGACUAGAGAUGCUCACGUGGUUUUGCCUAUGUAGGAGUUUCCAAGCCUAAGAAGUCUGAAACGUUUGCACUCCGCAUGAGGUAUGGAUACUGGAGUUGUAUAAUGGAGCGGCUACAGGAGGGAGAGUCUGAGCAAAACAGAUCAUCGCUAUCCAAAGGGACUGGCUUCCUCCAUGGUCAGACAGCCAUGUCCCCCUCCACAGACAGGGUUAACCAGAGCCACUGCGGAGUCAAGGGUGCAGACCUGACCAGCUAGAUAGGAACUGAUACAUCCUCUUUCUCUCCCUGACCUGCCUGUCACCCAGCCCUAGCAGAGCCACUGCGACAGGGUGGAGCAAUGGCACAGGGCAGGGAAUCCUAGGACCAAACCCAGAGGAGGGAUGGUAGACAAAAUGGUGGACAAGGAUCAAGGAGUGAGCCCAGGAGGGAGAGACGUGAGCAGACGGAAAGGCAAGCUGAAUGAGAACACGUGCUGCUGGGACACCAGUCAUUCCAAACUUCCAUGCCCUCGGCAGGCCUGGCUGUAUCCACGCCAGGGCAGAGGCAGGCAGGGCUCCUAAGACCUUCCAGCUCUGCAGAGGUGGACAAGGCUAAGGUUGAAAGGCAGGAUCUGCCACUGUGUGGCCAGAUCCCCAGUUUCUUUGAACCCUGGUUUCCUCAGCUAUAACAUGGGGUCUCAUCACCUGCCCCACAAGAUUAAUCUGGAGAUUAAACUGCACCAGAGGACACAGAGACGCUGAAAGUCACUAGUCGCUAGGGCUGAUGGAGCCCUGGGAAGGCAGGGGAGGGUGUUCAGAGAGACCAUGGAGCGCCAAGCCCUUGAAAGCCUGGUAUGACCUCUCGUAGUUGUGAGUCUGACUGCAUCAUACCAGGCUGCCAGCUCUCAUAUUCAUUUGUGCCUUGGUCCCCAAGGGCUUGCCUCUUCCCUGGGAGGCUGUGCUCAACCAUGCUUGGAGAAGGCCUGUCCAUCUCCUUGGUGCUGGCAGGAGGCACCCCAUAAAUCAAUCACUAAAUUCCAGGCAGAUGCACACGUUGUUUUGGUUGGAAACCCUGAUCCUCUCUGUGGCUGUGGUGCGACCCGACUCAGGUGAUUCAGUGGGACAGAGGCCUGGAGCUGGUUCCACUAGAGGGUGACGAUAAUAUUUUCUUUCCUGUCUUACCUUGGAGACAGGGUGGGAAUUUUUCCAGCCUUCUAUAUGGGGCCAACGCAAAUGCAGGUUUACUCAGUGAAUAUUUAUAGACCCCAGGGAUCUAGUAACAUGGACUUCAGAGGUCCCCCCCGGGGGAGGGGGGCUCACAGUACACAGUACUCUCCCCAGAACCCCACUGGCCUCACAGCCAGACCAUGGAGGAGGCAAGAGACUAUAUACAUAGCAAAAGAUUGUGACUUAGCUACCUUUGGCUCUGGGUUCAAAUCUCAAGCCUGAUACUUUACCAAACCUCAGCUGAUGUUUCUGCAAACCCGGGGAAGAAACCAAAAAUUUAGGAAGUCCUGAUGUCAGAUUUAAACUACUAUCUAUGAGAUGUUCAGGACUCAGCACAUUUUAAUCAUCUGGAAGAUUACUGAUAUCAAUGUAAUGUUAUGAGUGCUUAGAGAAGGGACACAGCUAACCGAUGUCCCAAAGCAGUGAGAAUUCAGGUGCCUUGAGAAGCAAGAGGUCAGAAUUGAGAUUGGGGCCAAGUAUCAGCCCUCAGGCUUCCUGAAGAUGACCCAGUAAGAAUGAGGAUGUCCAAGUAUGGGGUAGGACAGAGCAGUGAUGUCAGCGCUUUGGUAGUGCUAAAGGACCUCUAAGCCUGGGAGGCUGGUCCUCUACAUCGGUUUGAUGGAUGCUCCUAUCCUGCCCCUCCCUGGGUCUCAGGCUGCUUGGUUCGUUUCUUUCUUUCUCUCCUUCCCAUUUCCCUCCUUUGCAUUUUACUCUGCGGCUCAGGAUGGCUUCAAACACAUGACAACGCUUCCCUGAGAACUAGCUUCAAGGGCACCACACACAGCUUAGGUCUCUGCUUGUCAUUACAGACCCAGGGGUGGGUGGCAGGCUUUCUGGGGUCCCCAGCUUUCUUCUGGACAGAGUCUAGAUCUAAACUUGCUAGCACGUGAGUGUCUGGAAUCCUACAGUGACACAGCCAUUCACCAAGCAUGUGCUCUGUAUAAAAAACACUGAGCAUUUGACUUAAACAGUCUCCUUACCCCUCCGCACGCCCCCAGAAGGUGUCCUGUCACUGUGCCAUUGUGUAAAGAAGAGAAUUAAGUAACACCGUUGUCAAGGUAGAACCAGGAUUUGAAACCAGGCUGACGCUACCCUGCUGUCCCUCUCAUACCUACGCAUACACCCGCAUCACAUGCAUGGUCCUGCCUGUGCUCAGGCAGCUCCCAGAGACUGAGCUCAGCUGACUAACGGCAUGAGGAGAGGAGGCAAAGGCAGGGCAGAGGGGUGAGCUCAGCAGGGCUUCACUGAGAAGGCGAGAGGAUGUGCUUGUGAAUGCUGUCGCUUUGUCCUAGGUUCAAAUCCCAAGCCUGACAUUUCUGCUGAGUAUCCACUGACACCUCUACACACGAGCUCUACCCCUUUGUCCUUAGAGGGGUCCCUAGAUGCUAGUUUGUCUGCUGGCAGCCUCUAGGUAGCCAGUUACUUGGCUCUCCGCCCCAGCCCAAAUGCCUACCCUCCCCAGCUGAACACUUGUGACUCUUAGGAAAGGUUUUUACCUUUGUGAGCCUGUCUGCUCAUUUGUGACAUGGAGCAUGAACCCUCCACCUCAGAGUUGUCCAGAGGACACAGUGCCUGCUCCAGGAGCUCAUGGGAUAUCAAGAUACCAUAUGUUAUACAUGCUGUGGUAAGAUGUGAAGAACAUACAUCUUGGGCUAGCCUCUGACCACCUUACACCAUAACCUGGCUUGGGCUAGCCUCUGACCUUAGCUUUCUCAUUCACUCUGCCAAAAUGCCCUUCUCCACCCCUUUCCUUAGCAAACUCUUUCUCACCCAUCAGAAGCCGAUCCAAUGGCCACCUGUCACAGCUUCUUCUGACUACUACAAAUGGCCGGUACCUUCUCUGUUCCUAUAGCACAUGGUUCACCCUACAGCUAUUGCCCUCUCCCUACAGACUCCGGGCUGCUUGGGGCUGAUGUUAAGACAGUUUGCCUUGGGACCCUCAGAACCAGGGCAUCUGCUCCAACACACAUUCUGGGCGAGCCCAAGGCACAGAGAAGUGAAGCAGAGAGUGUCCGCAUGGCUUCCCCACCAGCCACCGUUCCAGAGGAGGCAAGGCUCAGGCAUGUACCGGGAGGGUGGGGUCUGUCACAGUCACAUACCCACCUGCUCAGCCAUCAUUGUAGAGCCAGGCCAGGGUACCAAAGCUGACUGUUCAAAGAGAUAAAAGGCCGGGAAACAAGAGAAUACAAGGGAGGGAUGGGAAAAGAGGAGAAGGAAAAAAUAAUUUUUGAAAAAAAAAGGGGUUCUUUUGGUGUUUGUUUUCAAAGCCACUGACGAAAACCAGAUUUGAAGUUUGGGGUAAAAAGGGAUUUGGGCCUUUCAAAUUCCACUCUCCACUAAUUGACUGCAGUUUCUCUUGAAAGAGCCCUCAGCUCUUCAGAACAAUCAGCAGCCCAGCUGGGCCUCUGCAGCCAGCAGCAGCCUGGCUCCAGAGGGUCGCCCUUGCUAUGUGAGUACCAAGUGACACAGGCCGUUGGACAGAUGGAGGGACAGGCAGGGGUGAAGGACUCUCAAAAGGCACACUUGGAGCCACAUGGGAAGGCCAGGUCAGGAGUCACAUCUAGGCUGCCUGCCUGCCUCCCAGUGCUUGCUCUGUCCUUGGCUGCCUGCCCCUCACGGUGCUUGUGGCUUUCCAGGACAGUAGUGAGCCACGAUGGAUUCAACAGGAGGCUGUAGUGUAGGUUUUCUGUUAGCAACAUACGAGGGUAGGUAUGUUGCUCUUCCCACAUUGUAGCAUACUGACGGCAUCUCCACCUCUCCUCCAGCCAAGUCAAAAGUACCCCCAGCUCAGGCCCUGCUAAUCCUUCCUUACACAGUGUGCACCAUUUUGUAACAGCUUUCUUUGUAGCAAUUCAGAAGCAAACAUUCCUGUUCCCUCUCCACAUAGGGAGAAGCUUAGAUCCAAAGGCCCUCAGCUCCCACAACCCAGUGCUGGGACAAUCCAAGGACUUGUCAUGGGCAGUUCAGACUGUCUCAUGUCAACUCCCGACCCUCAGCCCAGGCAGCUGAGGAAUGAGGCAAAGCCACUUGCCUACUCAGGGGUCCAGUCCUAGCUGUGAGUGGCCCUUCCCAGGCCCCACCCACCCACCAUGUUAAAAAGUAGUCCUGGGAAAAGCUAGCUGUCCCUCCCCAAGUAGCCAAUGCUAUUUUUCUCAGCAGAGGCUGGCUCCUUCUCUUUUCAGUGCCCACACCUAGCCCCGGAGGUGGCCUCCACUGCUGCCCUGGAGUGUGCUCUCCCCGUUCCUGGCCCAGCCUCUCUUCCUUCUACCCUGUAGACAACGGCUCCUGUGCAUGAGCUGCCUCAGUGAACGGAUGGUUUUCUCAAUGCAGAAUCUCAGUGCCCGCUGGGAGAGCCCUGAGGUCCUGCAAUGUUCAGACAGCAGGGGAGUUGGAGGUAUAGGGAGGACCAGGGUGUCCAACUGGGUGAUCCUUCUCUAGUUCUUGGGCUCCUCAUUGAGAAGACAAGGUUGGACACUGUCUUUUCAGACAUUUGUGGACAGGGUCUUCUGGCCCCUUGGGGAUGGCGUUGUCAUAGUGACCCUUGAAGAUGAGGGCUGAGGUGAUUAUGAAGCCCCAGAGAGGCGGGGCCUUGGUAGCAGAGGGCUAACAGCAUCCUUGGCACAUCUUUUUGACACAGUGCUCUUCUUGAGCUUCUGGGAAGGAAGAGCUGGGUCUCAGAAGGUGCGAGGGAGUGACCAGUGACUGGUGGCCCCUGGCUCAACCGGCCGAAGGCAGUCAUCAGCAUGAUCCUAUUGCCACCAUAAUUACAAACACCAGCAGCACAGCUGCCCAGAGCUAAGCUGCCGUGCUUGGAUGGAGGGAACACGGAGUCCAGGUAACACACAGUUCAUCGCAGAGCUGUUCUUGGGGCAUAGAAUAGGCUGCACUCAAGUAAGAGCUCCGUAAAUGCCAGCGAUUGACUGAGCAACAAAAGUCCCGGCCACAGUGGUUUCUUUCUGUGCCCGUGGCUUACACAUCACACAAACACCAAGGUGUCCCCAGGCAUGCUACCUGCCAGGAACCCACAACAGGGUCCUACAAGACAGUGAACUAAUAUCCAGAUGCAUACAAGUCAGAGCUCCAAGUCCCAGGCUGGAGUGGAAGGACCGCACCAUUCAUGCUACAGUACCAUGUUAAGCCGCUUCGAGGUGACCCUACAGAGUACUGCUGUCAUCUCCACGGCUCUCAGAGGAGAAAUCAGGGCUCAGAGAAACUAAGUAACCUCAACAAAGGGGUAAUUGAACUGGGAUUUACCUUGAGUCUACUUGGCUCCUUCUAAGUCAUUUUCAAUCAAAGCAUUAAUGAAUGGGGCGAAGUGGACGCCAGGCGAGCAUUGCAGGGAGGCUAGCACGUGCACAGGCUGUUGGGUGGGCCUUCUGGCUAGCACUUGUACAGCAAGGAUGUGGGAGAUCCUGCCAAACUUAGCCACUCUGGAAGCUUGGAGCACUGAGAAACACGGGUGAAAGUGCA
rnacentral:sRNA from 1 species